rnacentral:rRNA from 1 species
CAGCAGCCGCGGUAAUACGAAGGGGGCNAGCGUNGUUCGGACCUACUGGGCGUAAAGCGCACGNAGGCGGAUNGUUAAGNNAGGGGNGAAAUCCCAGGGCUCAACCCUGGAACNGCCUNUAAUACUGGCAAUCUCGAGNCCGGAAGAGGUGAGUGGAAUNCCGAGUGUAGAGGUGAAAUNCGUAGAUAUUCGGAGGAACACCAGUGGCGAAGGCGGCUCACUGGUCCGGUACUGACGCUGAGGUGCGAAAGCGUGGGGAGCAAACAGGAUUGGAUACCCUGGUAGUCCACGCUGUAAACGAUGGAAGCUAGCCGUCGGCAAGUUUACUUGUCGGUGGCGCAGCUAACGCAUUAAGCUUCCCGCCUGGGGAGU